rnacentral:rRNA from 1 species
UACAGAGGUCUCAAGCGUUGUUCGGAUUCAUUGGGCGUAAAGGGUGUGUAGGUGGCGCGCUAAGUCGGGUGUGAAAUUUCGGAGCUUAACUCCGAAACUGCAUUCGAUACUGGCGUGCUUGAGGACUGGAGAGGAGACUGGAAUUCAUGGUGUAGCAGUGAAAUGCGUAGAGAUCAUGAGGAAGACCAGUGGCGAAGGCGGGGUCUCUGGACAGUUCCUAACACUGAGACACGAAGGCCAGGGGGAGCAAACGGGG